UCUUAUCUGACUAUAUUUGUCAUGUUUCAGGUCUGGUGCAAAAGAUGCUAGCCCUAUAUUGAAAGAACUUUUUCAGUUUUGAAAUAGUAAAUGAAGAAACAAAAGCAUAAUAUAAGAAAGGACAAUACUCACAAAGAGUUUGGAGCUCUUCCCCUGGAAAUUCACCUGGAGGGUAAAAAUGAUGGAGUUGAAAUAUUGUUAUAUGAUGAUCUUAAUAUCUUCUACCUUCUGAAGGAUAGGCAUCUCCUGGUGCUCUGGAUCACAAUUCCUUGCUGAGGAAGCAACACAGGAUCUAGAAAUGACUGUUUAAUGUUUUUCUGAAAAAUGUCAACAACCAAGGCACAAGUCGAUUUCUUGCUGAAAUACAGGUAUGUGCCUACUUGGCCAGAGUGAAUGUUUAUUAACUUCAAGCUCCUGUAUAGAAGAUGGUUUCUGGUUUUGAAUUAAGUAGACUUUUGGAAAAAGCAAGGGAAAUUUCCUCUGUGACUUCAGCCUUGGAAUUAUGUCAGGAGUAUAUUUAAGUUUGAGACUUCCCAAUUUUGAGAGUUUGAGGACCUUCAAGAGGGAAUUUCUUAAUGUAAUAUGUUCCCAGGAUGAAAAAAAAAAAAGGUUCACUUUCAGGUCCUUUAUAGCAUCUGAUUUGAAGAAUAAAGCAUAUGAGUAACCCCAACACUCAAGAGCAAAUGGGAAAAGAAUUUCACCUAUGUGAUACCCACAAAGUUUGUGGCUUUCUGGAAGGAAUACAAACCACAGGAUGAACUACAGUUCUGGAGGGUCUGAGUAGAACUGUGUUUAAGAGAUUGAGAUCCAGAAGAAUACCAAAGAAUUGCCUUGAUCUCAUCUUCAAGUUCAAUUCUCUUCCCAAGGACCAUGGGCAUUUAUAUACUUUGCUUGUUUCUUACCUGUUUAUGGACUCCAGUAAAUCUCUUGUGUCUUCUGAAUUUCCUGUAGGGUAAAAUAAAGGUUGCCCUACCCAAAUGUAUUGCUCCCUUUUGUUCUUCAUCUGAGCUGGUUUCCAGUUACCCAUAUUUAUGGAAACAUAGAUAUACUUAGAGAUUUUCAUAAAAAUACUCAAGGUAAGGACAAGAAACCAGUUAAAAGGAAAUUAUUCUUUUGGGUUCAUCUCCUAGAACUGGAUCCAGGGUCAUCUUAUUGUUCUUGAUAAACCCUGAUAGAAGAGAAUAACAUGUAUGACUUUUCUGGUCACUAUGGAAAUUCUGAUGCCUGCAAAAACUCCUCAGUGCAGUCAGGCAAAUUAACUAGGCUUAAAGAAACCAAACAGCUGACUAGAUAUUUGCAUUUCUUCUCUUUUGCAUUUUUUUUUUUAGAUUUUGACAAGAGUUUUUAUUUGUGGUUGGAACAUCAUGGAUAUUUGUAGUAGACAGAUAGGUAUUCCCUUAGCAUAAUCUAGCUCCAGGAAGAAUUGUGAACCAAAAGUUAUUUUUUGGCAACCAAAUCUGACUGUCUUUUUUGUUCCCCUUUAUCACUUUAUUAGCACCCUGUCCAUCUCUCUCUACGUUAAGUUAAAAAUUCUACCCACCUUUUCCUUGCCUUUUGAAAAGAGGUGAUAAACACACUACGUUAAGAAAAUGAUGCCUAAGAUUGAAUAUGUUACAUCUGCCAUAAGCAUUUAUAUUUUUCACAGGGGAAAAAGUCAAAGGAGUAAAUCUCCACUUCUGUAACUUCUUUCUUCAGUUAUCUCUUUGAGGAACAAAGAGAAGUCUCAUACCCUACUCUUAGCCAGAUAAUGUAUAAAGUAGUAGGAGUACAGUGACAUUUUAUAUAAUGAAUGGUUAUGGUGAUAAUUCUGAUUGCUAAUAAAUAUUAAAGUACAUGUUUCUUUGUCUUUCUUUUCGGUCCAGACUCAUGAUUUUAUUUGUGUAAGGAAUUCCCAGUGAGGAAAUGCCCUCUAUCAAUACUAUCAGCAGCUACUACAAAAUUUAUAGUCUUAGAGAAUUGCCUGGAGCAUUGAGAGAUUAAGUGAUUUGACCAGGUUCACAUAGCCAACAUAUAUCAGAGAUAGGAUUAGAAUACUGGGACAGACCAUCCUAACUUUGAGGCCAGCUCUCUAGUCACUAUGCAGAUAGGUACAUAUCUAGGUUGGGAUCUAUCUGUGUGGAUAUAUACAAGGUAUCUCAAAGCUCCAUAGCCUAAAAUGUGCAAAAAGAUGUAGAAUGUCAUAUAUAUACAUGCAUCGGUGUAUAUGAACAUCUAUGCACAUAUAUACCCAUCUAGAUACAUAUAUACACAUUUAUAUGUAUAUGCAUGGGUUUGUGUAUGAGUACCUAUGUGUACAUAUAAUAUGUAAAUAAGCAUAUGCAUGAGAGAGAGAGAUAGAGGUAGAGUAAGAAGAGGAGGCAGGGAGAGCAAGAGAGGGAGCAAGAGCUAUAAAGUGAGAGAGAGAGUGUGUGUGUGUGUGUGAGUGAGAGUGAGAGAUUUAAUUUUACUUGUUAAUCUUCUAUAACCACAAAAGAGUACAGAAUACUAUACUAGUACUCAUAAAAAUGGGACUUUUUUGAGAAGACUUAAAAACUGAAAAUCGUUUUUCCCUUGAGGCCAGAAUAACACUUAAUGCCCAUGGAACACUCCUCUUACCUAUACAAACUUGUUUUCAAAUUUCUGAUUUCCUGACAAAGUUCAUGCAGGGAAUAUUUCCACACAGAAAGGCUAGAGUACAUUGAAAGUGUCACAGGAAUAGAAAGCCAGACUUUGACAUAAGGUGAAGGCAUGGUUAAAUAUCUCCAUGCAUUCCUGAAACCCCUAAACUUAAAUGACUCAGAAAUUGGGAUAUGUUGAGUAUAUUGAACAAAUUAUGUUGUGCUAAUUAAAAUGAAUUUAUAUCAAUGUGGCCCAUGAGUUAUAUUGUAAAGUAGAAGAGUAUAAAUUACACUAAAUUGUAUCAUUUAGAUAUAUAGAUUUCACUGAGUUUCCCUGAAGAAAAAACACCUAUUCAUUUCCAGUUACUAAUUUAUUAGCUCAUUUUUGUCCAUAAUCCUGACUGCAUCUAUAAUUACAUUUAAUUUGCACACCUAACAUCAGAUUUCCAUAGUGUCCCCAAAAGAACUCCUCAUAGGGUCAUCACAUAAAUCACAUAAAUCAGUUUUAAAUUUGUAUAAAGAACAUACAUCCUAUUUUUGUUCAUUAAUGCUAUGAGUUUCUUAUUUCCUUUCCUAUACUUUAGGGUAUCUAUUAUUUUAGAGUUUUGCUGCUUUGCUUUAUUAAAGUGCUAUUUUGAAAUUUUCUGGUGGAAUGAGCAAAAAUGCUUUCACUGAGUGCCCAAAAUAAUUCUAAGCUUAAAAGUUUUAUUUUAAAUGUCAUUUGAAUGGUUUUAAAUCUACUAAAAUUUCAUCAUUCAUAUGUAUGCCUUUAUACACAACCUUAUUUGAGUAUUUCUUCAUUUGUAUGGGGAAAGCAAAAUUGCUAAGAAUUAUCCUGUGAAUACUUUGAUUCUUCAGUCAAUGAAAUUCUGUAAUUCCUUUGACUUUAAAUGUUUGUGGGGCUUCUGUUUUAAAAUAGUUUCAAAGCAUCAAGCUCAUUGGUACUCUUGGGUAUGAUAAACCUCCAAGUCUGAAACUGACAAAAAUCUCCUACUCUGUUACAUAAUCUUAUACCAUCAAUAAUUUAAUCUUAGAGGGGCAUUAAAUGGUCUUAAUAGGAACAGGAAAAUAUAUCAUUGACUAUAAAUGUGUUCUCCCUCCAUACCCAACUCUGUUCUUCAUUUUCUCUUUCAGUAACAUUUUGUUUGUAUGAAAUAAAAUAUUCUUCUUAAAUUUGAACAAAUUCUUAAGGGGGUAUCGGUGGACACAUAUGGUAUUCAACUAAUGAUAUUCUAUUAUUUGAUUUAUGACUCAAAAUAAUAUUUAGGUUUUGAAGGAGAGUUAAAAAUGUCAAAUGCUUAGUAAAUAUAUUUUUGAAAUAAAAUCAAACAUUGAGAAUAGGAUAGAAAAAAAAUAAUAGACAUAAUUAAAAAAACCUGUUUCAAAUGGCUGCUGUUCUAGGGAAGAAAAAGGAUAAUCUAAAAACCUUUUGGGUAGGAUUCUUAUUUGUUUUAUUCUUCAGUGUAUUUCAAUGUAUCAUGCCAUGUAAACCUAAAAAAAUUGAUUCAUAGCCUUUGUAAAUUCAUGAGCUCUUCUUUUCCCAGAGCAGUCAUUAAAAUAAAGGGGAAAUAUGACUAGGACCUCAAAGAUUAGGAAAAUAUUAUUAUUGCUAUUUAUUAUUGGAUUUUCAUGAGGGUACCUUUGCAGCCUAUAAUAUUUGUACAUUGUGUGAUAAGCUUAAAGUUCUGAUUAUUGUAAAAUAUUUGUAUUGUAGAUGUUUGUUGAAUUGUGAUAAAGAUUUUCUAUUUGUCUU